rnacentral:rRNA from 1 species
UUGGCGGACGGGUGAGUAACGCGUGGGCAACCUGCCUUACACAGGGGGAUAACACUUAGAAAUAGGUGCUAAAACCGCAUAAGCGCACAGCUUCGCAUGAAGCGGUGUGAAAAACUCCGGUGGUGUAAGAUGGACCCGCGUCUGAUUAGCUUGUUGGCGGGGUAACGGCCCACCAAGGCGACGAUCAGUAGCCGGCCUGAGAGGGCGGACGGCCACAUUGGGACUGAGACACGGCCCAGACUCCUACGGGAGGCAGCAG